rnacentral:misc_RNA from 1 species
GAUGAAGAACGCAGCUAAAUGCGAUACUUGGUGUGAAUUGCAGAAUCCCGUGAACCAUCGAGUCUUUGAACGCAAGUUGCGCCCGAAGCCAUUAGGCCGAGGGCACGCCUGCCUGGGCGUCACACGUCGUUGCCCCCCCAUCUACUCCUUCGGGAUUGCGGGGGGCGGAUGAUGGCCUCUCGUGCGCCUCGUCGCGCGGUUGGCCUAAAUGCCAAGUCCUCGGCGACGCACGCCACGACAAUCGGUGGUUGCGAAACCUCGGUUGCCUGUCGUGUGCGGUCGUCGCGCAUCGAGGGCUCGAAAAAAUUGCCGGGCUUCGGCUCGACUUUCAACGCGACCCCAGGUCAGGCGGGGUUACCCGCUGAAUUUAAGCAUAUCAAUAAGCGGAGGA